ensembl:lncRNA
GGCUUUCUCUAGCUGUGGUCAGCAGGGCUACUCUGCACUGUCGUGCACAGACUUACUGUUGUGGCUUCUUUUGUGUGUGUGUGGCAUGUGGAAUCUUCCUCGACCAGGGAUUAAACCCACGUUCUAUGCCCUGGCAGGACAUAAGUUCUUCCAGAGUCACUGCUUCACUAUAGUUACAUUUGAAAGACAGUCAAACCCUUGCUGAUAUGAAGAUUUUUCUAAGACUUAGCUCUUCUCUUCUGAAGAAUUAAUAGACUGAGAUGGAUCUGUUAAUAUCUUCUCCAUGAUACAAAGAAGAUGAACCCACACGCUGGUUGAGCCAGGGCUUGGUUAUGUUGCCCUGACCAUGGAGCUGUCCAAAGAAAGCUGAGUGCUGAAGAAUUGAUGCUUUGGAACUGUGGUGUUGGAGAAGAUUCUUGAGAGUCCGUUGGACUGCAAGGAGAUCCAACCAGUCCAUCUGAAAGGAGAUCAGUCCUGAAUGUUCAUUGGAAGGACUGAUGUUGAAGCUGAAACUCCAGUACUUUGGCCACCUGAUGUGAAGAGCUGACUCAUUUGAAAAGACCCUGAUGCUGGGAAAGAUUGAAGGCAGGAGGAGAAGGGGAUGACAGAUGAUGAGAUGGUCGGAUGGCAUCACCAAUAUUCUUUUGGAGAAGCAAAUGGCAACCCACUCCAGUACUCUUGCCUGGGAAAGUCCAUGGACAGAGGAGCCUGGCGGACUACAGUCCUUGGGGAUCACAAAGAGUCGGACAUGACUGAGCAGCUGAACGACAACAGUGCUGCCGAGGCUUUUCAGGGAAGCUCUGGAGCCCAUUAGUCCUUUACUGCCAUAGGUCUAGAGACUUGCCUAACCUCUCUGAGCCUUGUUUUCUCAUCUGUGAAAUGGGAAUAGCAGCCUCGACCUCACAGCCUUGCUGGGAGUAUUAGGAUGUGGAGACCAGGGCUCAGCAGUGUUACUGACCCUUACACACUGAAGUGAACAUUCAGGAACAGCAGAAUGAAUGGACUGAUCAGAGUUUGGAAAUGUCUUUUCCACUGGCUUUUCCCGAGCUUUCCAAAGCUGGAGCUGUUUUUCCCUUCUCACCACUUCUCCUGGCUCCUCAUUCACCCUCCUCUCUAGCUCCACUGGGAUGCUCUGCCUUCCACGUCCUUCCCACCCCUCAAGUCUCAGCUCUCUCAUUUUGUAACCCCUCAGUCACUUCCUUCCAUGCUUCCAAUCCCCGGAGAGGGCCCCUCCAACCCACAGUUCACAGCAGACUUGCUGUCUGAACCACAUCCUCUUUAAACCAUUAUGGAAUCUUAUUCCUCCACCACUGGAGUGUAAACGUCCAAAGGCCUGGGGUCCUAUCCCUCUUCCAGAAACCAGACACAGACUAGGAAACAUGCCACCAGCUCAUCGAUUCUUGUUCAGUGAAUGAAUUCAUCAUCUUCACAAAUUCUUACAGAAUGAGUCAAAUAAAAAAUAUAAGUGCUUGCUAAGUCCUGCCCCGUAGCUUAGCAUCCAAGCCUGUUAUACUCUGUAUCCAGACUCCCUGUUCCGCCCUCAGUUUCAGCCAAGUGCCCUCAUGCUGUGCCUCUCACUGAUUUCUGCCUUUGGACCUUUGUUUUCUCUGUUCUUUGUCUCUUGAAUGACCCCUGUACUCGACCAAGGUCCCACUUAUCCAUCUAGGUUCAAGUUCAGUGCCAGCUUACCUACAGAGUCAGCUUCCCCACAGAGUCAGCUUCCCCUUCAAACAGAAUCCCUCUUUCCUUUCCUUAUUCUCACUGAUUUUAGACACACUUUAAAAAUGUCUGUCCAUUUUUUUUUUGCCUGUAUAUGCUUAUUUAGGUAUGUCCCCCAACUCCAUUUAAACUUCUUGAGAACAGAGACCAUAUUUUGCCCUCACAAGGUUAUUAUGAGGGUUAAUGAGAUAGCAUAGGUUAGAAAAGCACAGAGUUACUUGUGUUACAUUUGUGGCAUCUUAGGACUUCCCUGGUGGUCCAGUGGCUAAGACUCUAUGCUCCCAAUGCAGGGGGCCCAGGUUCGAUCCCUAGUCAGAGAACUAAAAGAUCCUGCAUGCCACAGCUAAGACCUGGUGGGGACAAAUAAAUAAAAUAUACUUUUAAAAAUUGUGGUAUCUUGGUCACCCUCCACCCAUUUGUUGCUCCAAGACCUAGUUCUCAGCUUGGUAAACAUAUGCUUGAUAAUCUGUACUGCAUAAAUGAUUAAAAAAAAAAUAAAAGGAGCCCUCUUGGAGGUCUGUGCUUGAAAGUAGGAUAGGAGGAUCAUUGAAUGUAUUAAGUGAUGAAAGAAGGUUCUGGCUUCAUCUGCUUCCUUUUCCCCUUCCUUGCCCUAUGAGAGCACCAGUGCAGGACUGGUGUGGUU